GUCCUAGCUGUAAACGGUGCACGUUUGCUGUGAGAGGUGUCGAAUCCUUUCGUGGCGAAGCUAACGCGUUAAACGUGCCGCCUGGGAAGUACGGUCGCAAGAUUAAAACUCAAAGAAAUUGACGGGGGCCUGCACAAGCGGUGGAGUAUGUGGCUUAAUUCGAUGCAACGCGAAGAACCUUACCUGGCCUUGACAUGUAUGUAGUAGAAGGGUGAAAGCCUGACGAGGUAGCAAUACCAGCAUACACAGGUGCUGCAUGGCUGUCGU
rnacentral:rRNA from 1 species